rnacentral:rRNA from 1 species
UACUCGAGUGGCGAACGGGUGAGUAACACGUGGGUGAUCUGCCCUGCACUUCGGGAUAAGCUUGGGAAACUGGGUCCAAUACCGGAUAGGAGCCAUCUUUAGUGUGGUGGUUGGAAAGUUUUUUCGGUGUAGGAUGAGCUCGCGGCCUAUCAGCUUGUUGGUGGGGUAAUGGCCUACCAAGGCGGCGACGGGUAGCCGGCCUGAGAGGGUGUACGGCCACAUUGGGACUGAGAUACGGCCCAG